rnacentral:misc_RNA from 1 species
AAGUGCUCCAUAAGUAGCAUUGAAAAAAAAGGUAUUUUUGUGCUUUUUGUUAUAUUUACGAUAUUUUUAAAAAUCAUUAAAUUUCAUCAUAAUAAAGCAAAGAGUCAUUAUGAGCUAGAAAUAACAGCCUUUGAAAUUCUAACCUAUAGUUUCAAAACAAUCAUCGAUAUCCUAAGUAUUAAACCACAUGCUUGGUUUGAACAACUCCAAACAUGGAUUGCUAGUAGAUAAUUGGUCUUUUUAUUUUCUCUAUGACCACGUCAUCAAAAUACAUUCUUGUAAUGACCUUUUGUGGAACAGAGAAGUGAGCUGCCUUAUUUUGAUCCAGUAACAAUGUUGAAUUCAUUCGCACUCUUCAACAUCAAAUUUUUCCAAGUGAUAUUCACUCUCUCAAUCUGAUUCUGCAUCACAGAUGCUCCAUCCAUUUUAUCAGCCUCAUCUGAUGCCCUUGUCAUAACUACACUGGAUUCUGGAACACAACUUGGAGAGUUCAAUUCUCUCUAAUCAUCCUUAAGUAACUCAACAAACUCAGUCCAGCUUGUUGGUCAAUUCCAUUUGCUUUUCUUUCCUCAUUUACAUUUUGGUGUAGCUCUUCAACACUCUGAUGGAUGAGUAACAAGAACUUUUCAUUUCUCACAAAAUUUGAAAGCUGCAAGAGGAUUCUUUUUCUUUUUUCAUUUUCAUUUCCAUUUGUAUCUUCUUCCCAAGACUUCCCAAGAAGAUCGAGAACUUUUCAUUUCCAGACAAAUUUGCAAUCUGUGUCACUCCAUCCAAUUUUUCCAAGUCACCUUUCAUGGGAGCUUUGUUUUCUUGCCUUUUCCACCCUACCAUUUUGACUGCCAAAAAAGUGUGGUUGGUUAGUCAUAGCUUGACGAGCGGCUGCACCGACCUUGCAAAUAAUCCUCCAAUGAGAUGGUUUGCUUAAUGCUACUCAUAUAGAGUGAAUUAUCCUCAACAUCAAGUAACACCUCUUGCGCAACAUAGUAUGGACUCUCAACAACAUCAAAGAAGGUCUCACCUUAAUAAGAAGCUGCAUCCUAAGGAAAAGUUGGGGGCAACAACAGCAAUCAACAAGAUGCUGCUUGAAAACUGAUAUCUACUAAUUAUCCAUUUAACCUUUGCCUUUCAACAGAAGUAUAAUAAAAAAGAGAAAGGCUUGGGGAUCAUCGUGUUCAAGCUAGAGUUCAACAAAUUUCAAAACUCAAAAACCUAAAUCGUACAAGAGCUCAAUGGAUUUGGCCAGAAGAUGAUGGAGUCGGAGGAGUGGAACCAUGGGAAAAAGUAGCAGCACAAGAGAGGGGGACAACAGGAGAAAGGGAAACGCUGAACUGUAGAAGGCAGACAAGGAUGGGAGAGGAAAGAGGGAGAAGGAAGAUUUGGGGGGAAGGAAAUUUUGGGCCAAAAAUAUGGCCAAAAAUUUAGGGCUUUAAGGUUCUAAAUAAGUUUCCAAUAGAUUUUUGAUAGCCAAUAAUCUAUCAUGCUUUUUUU